CCGUGUCUCCAUGAUAGAGGUCUCGCCUGCCCUGUGCACCAUGUAGUUUAGCGGCGGCGGUAUUUUGACCGUGCAAAGGUAGCGCAAUCACUUGUCUUUUAAAUGAAAACCUGUAUGAAUGGCAUAACGAGGGCUUAACUGUCUCCCUUUUCCAGUCAGAGAAAGUGAUCUCCCCGUGCAGAAGCGGGGAUUAAAACAUAAGACGAGAAGACCCUAUGGAGCUUUAGACAAAGAGCAGACCAUGUUAAACACACCUAAAUAAAGGACAAAACCAAUUGGCCCCUGCCCUUAUGUCUUUGGUUGGGGCGACCGCGGGGAAACAAAAAACCCCCAUGUGGACUGAAGACAUUCCUCUUCACAACCAAGAGCCACAGCUCUAAGCAACAGAACAUCUGACCAACAAGAUCCGGCACUAAGCCGAUCAACGGACCGAGUUACCCUAGGGAUAACAGCGCAAUCUCCUUUUAAAGCCCCCAUCGACAAGGAGGUUUACGACCUCGAUGUUGGAUCAGGACAUCCUAAUGGUGCAGCCGCUAUUAAGGGUUCGUUUGUUCAACGAUUAAAGUCCUACGUGAUCUGAGUUCAGACCGGAGGAGG
rnacentral:rRNA from 1 species